rnacentral:rRNA from 1 species
UACAGAGGGUGCGAGCGUUGUUCGGAAUUAUUGGGCGUAAAGGGCGCGUAGGCGGUGCGGUAAGUCACCUGUGAAAUCUCCUGGCUCAACUGGGAGCUUGCAGGCGAAACUGCCGAGCUGGAGUGUGGGAGAGGUGAGUGGAAUUCCCGGUGUAGCGGUGAAAUGCGUAGAUAUCAGGAGGAACACCGGUGGCGAAGGCGGUGGUCUGGGCCGGCACUGACGCUGAGGAGCGAAAGCGUGGGGAGCGAACAGG